CCUAUCAUUGAAUAGUUGGACUCUGUUCUGAAUGUAAAGGGUGGAACUUUUUUCACUUCAUCUUUGUCUUGACUGAGGUCAGUCCCCAACACCAAUGCUUUCUAAGGUCCAAAUUCCUUUUCCUUUUCCUCAAGUCCCUCUCCCUCUGUCUAACAUCUUUGUCUUGUUUAAAAGGUGCUAUCUCUUCCGCCCAAUAGACGCCAGGACAGGUUGGUUUCUGUUCAAGAUGAGUGAUAUCAACAUGCAAUAUGUCACAUCUACCUCCUUUCUACUCUUAAGCUAUGCUAAGUACUUAACAACAGCCCAUAUGGUUGUGAACUGUGGUUGAACCACUCUUACUCCAAAGAGGCUCAGGGCUAUAGCACAAAAAAGGUGGAUUACUUGCUAGGAGACAACCCCUUGAAGAUGUCCUACAUGAAGGAUACAUCACAAGGGCUCAUAGCUGCUGUCCAUUGUUGUUCACCCUGGCAAGAUCGAAUGCUCAGUAGGAUUCAAUGUGAUGAACUCACAAUCCCCAAAUCCAUGACAGAACUUGGUUGAGGCAGACUAGUCAUUUGUCUGAGUUACACAUGGCUGCUGUAUCUAGAAUGGGUGACAUAGCUGAAGGUUAAAACUUAAAAUCGCACUAUGGAAGAGAAGGACAUAAAUGUUUACGGAAAUAAAUCGAUUUUAUUUAUGUUUAUUUGUAAACGAUAUAUUUACUUAUAUAUUUGGGGCUUUUAAUUUUUUUUGUUUUUUUGUAUAAACGGGCUUUUAAUUUUUAAUGCAAGAUAUUUUGAAUUUUAUUUCUA